GCAGGUGGUGGGGGCACCGUGGGAGGAGCCACCCAAUGACGACGACCUAGAGCCGACGGCGACGUGGAGUAGGCGUCGGCGACGGGGGCAGCCAGGGAGGAGGAGGAGUAGGCGUCGGCGGCGGGGAGGAGGAGGAG
rnacentral:sRNA from 1 species